CAAGUCGAACGGACAGGUAAUGAAACCUAGUGAUUUAUCUGUUAGUGGCGGACGUGUGAGUAACGCGUGGGUAACCUGCCGUAUACAGGGGGAUAACACUUAGAAAUAGGUGCUAAAACCGCAUAAGCGCACAGGAUCGCAUGGUCUGGUGUGAAAAACUCCGGUGGUAUACGAUGGACCCGCGUCUGAUUAGCUUGUUGGCGGGGUAGAGGCCCACCAAGGCGACGAUCAGUAGCCGGCCUGAGAGGGUGAACGGCCACAUUGGGACUGAGACACGGCCCAAACUCCUACGGGAGGCAGCAGUGGGGAAUAUUGCACAAUGGGGGAAACCCUGAUGCAGCGACGCCGCGUGAGUGAAGAAGUAUUUCGGUACGUAAAGCUCUAUCAGCAGGAAAGAAAAUGACGGUACCUGACUAAGAAGCCCCGGCUAACUACGUGCCAGCAGCCGCGGUAAUACGUAGGGGGCAAGCGUUAUCCGGAUUUACUGGGUGUAAAGGGAGCGUAGACGGUGAAGCAAGUCUGAAGUGAAAGGCGGGGGCUCAACCCCCGGACUGCUUUGGAAACUGUUUGACUGGAGUGCAGGAGAGGUAAGUGGAAUUCCUAGUGUAGCGGUGAAAUGCGUAGAUAUUAGGAGGAACACCAGUGGCGAAGGCGGCUUACUGGACUGUAACUGACGUUGAGGCUCGAAAGCGUGGGGAGCAAACAGGAUUAGAUACCCUGGUAGUCCACGCGGUAAACGAUGAUCACU
rnacentral:rRNA from 1 species